rnacentral:rRNA from 1 species
GGGCCCGCACAAGCGGUGGAGCAUGUGGUUUAAUUCGAUGCAACGCGAGGAACCUUACCUAGGCUUGACAUCCUGGGAAGUUUUGGGAAACCAAUUCGUGCCCUUCGGGGAACCCAGUGACAGGUGUUGCAUGGCUGUCGUCAGCUCGUGUCGUGAGAUGUUGGGUUAAGUCCCGCAACGAGCGCAACCCUUGUCCCUAGUUACCAGCGGGUUAUGCCGGGAACUCUAGGGAGACUGCCGCUGAUAAGGCGGAGGAAGGUGGGGACGACGUCAAGUCAUCAUGGCCCUUACGCCUAGGGCUACACACGUGCUACAAUGGCCGGUACAAUGGGCUGCCAAGCCGCGAGGUGGAGCUAA